rnacentral:rRNA from 1 species
UACGUGGGGUGCAAGCGUUCUUCGGAAUUAUUGGGCGUAAAGGGCGCGUAGGCGGUUGAAUAAGUUAGAUGUGAAAGCCCUUGGCUUAACCAAGGAAGUGCAUUUGAUACUAUUUGACUUGAGUAUGGGAGAGGGAAGUGGAAUUCCUGGUGUAGAGGUGAAAUUCGUAGAUAUCAGGAGGAACACCGGUGGCGAAAGCGAGUUCCUGGCCCAAUACUGACGCUGAGGAGCGAAGUCGUGGGGAGCAAACAGG